rnacentral:rRNA from 1 species
AGAGUUUGAUCAUGGCUCAGCCUGAACGCUGGCGGCGUGGCUAAGACAUGCAAGUCGCACGGUGUAGCAAUACACAGUGGCGAACGGGUGAGUAAUGAAUCGCUAAUGUGCCCCGGACUUUGGGAUAGCUACCCGAAAGGGUAGGUAAUACCAGAUGAUAUGCAGCUGUCGCAUGACAGUUGCCUCAAAGGUCCGCCGGUCUGGGAGCAGGCGAUUUCGUAUCAGCUAGUUGGUGAGGUAACGGCUCACCAAGGCGAUGACGCGUAGCCGGACUGAGAGGUUGGCCGGCCACAUUGGGACUGAGACACUGCCCAGACUCCUACGGGGGGCUGCAGUAACGAAUCUUCCGCAAUGGGCGCAAGCCUGACGGAGCGACGCCGCGUGUAGGAGAAGCCCUUCGGGGUGUAAACUACUGUCAGGGGUUAGAAAGUUCUGAUCAACCCCAGAGGAAGGCACGGCUAACUCUGUGCCAGCAGCCGCGGUAAGACAGAGGUGCCAAGCGUUAGGCGGAAUCACUGGGCUUAAAGCGUGUGUAGGCGGGUCGUUAAGUACCUUGUGAAAUCCCACGGCUCAACCGUGGAACUGCUUGGUAUACUGGCGAUCUUGAGCCAGCUAGGGGCUACCGGAACAAACGGUGGAGCGGUGAAAUGCGUAGAUAUCGUUUGGAACGCCAAUGGUGAAAACAGGUAGCUGGGGCUGUGCUGACGCUGAGACACGAAAGCCAGGGGAGCGAACGGGAUUAGAUACCCCAGUAGUCC